rnacentral:rRNA from 1 species
UACGGAGGGUGCGAACGUUAAUCGGAAUUACUGGGCGUAAAGCGUGCGUAGGCGGUUCUCCAAGUCCGUUGUGAAAGCCCCGGGCUCAACCUGGGAAUGGCAGUGGAAACUAGGGGACUGGAAUCUGGCAGAGGGGGGUGGAAUGCCGCGUGUAGCAGUGAAAUGCGUAGAGAUGCGGCGGAACACCGAUGGCGAAGGCAGCCCCCUGGGCUGAGAUUGACGCUCAGGCACGAAAGCGUGGGGAGCAAACAGG